AGGACGAACGCUGGCGGCGUGCUUAACACAUGCAAGUCGUACGAUGAUGCCGCAACUUGUUGUGGUGGAUUAGUGGCGAACGGGUGAGUAACACGUGAGUAACCUGCCUUUCACUCUGGGAUAAGCCUUGGAAACGAGGUCUAAUACUGGAUAUGACUUCUUGCCGCAUGGUGGGGGUGGAAAGCCUUCGGGUGGUGGAUGAUGGACUCGCGGACUAUCAGCUUGUUGGUGGGGUUGUGGCCUACCAAGGCUUUGACGGUUAGCCGGCCUGAGAGGGUGAUCGGCCACAUUGGGACUGGGAUACGGCCCAGACUCCUACGGGAGGCAGCAGUGGGGAAUAUUGCACAAUGGGCGAAAGCCUGAUGCAGCGACGCCGCGUGGGGAUGAAGGCCUCGGUUGUAAACUCCUUUCGCUCGUGACGAAGCCUUUCGGGUGACGGUAGCGGGAGAGAAGCACCGGCUAACUACGUGCCAGCAGCCGCGGU
rnacentral:rRNA from 1 species